rnacentral:rRNA from 1 species
CGGCGAACGGGUGCGUAAUGCAUGGGAAUCUGCCUAGUAGUGGGGAAUAACCCGGCGAAAGCCGGGCUAAUGCCGCAUACGACCUACGGGUGAAAGCGGGGGACCGCAAGACCUCGCGCUAUUAGAUGAGCCCAUGUCGGAUUAGCUAGUUGGUAGGGUAACGGCCUACCAAGGCGACGAUCCGUAGCUGGUCUGAGAGGACGGCCAGCCACACUGUGACUGAGACACGGCCCAG